CCUUGUGCCCCGACCCUCUGGGGCCUUUGUCAGUGGCCACAGCAGCCCAACACUCUCACCCCUCACCUGGCCUGACUGGAGAAGGCCCUGGGCCUGCCGGUUACCAUCCCACAUUGCCCCCACAGGGCUCUCAGUGUAGCAAGGGCAGGGAGAAGGCCCAGGCUGGAAGGUCCACUCCUCAUUCUCCCUGCCCCACCCUGCCAUGCCCAUCCUGAUGGUCACCAUGGCCUGUACCAGGCCUCCGGCGGAGAAGCUGGGCACCACGUACUUCACGUCAAAGUCGCGAGAGGCCGCGUAGGGGGUGCGCGGGCACUGCCAGUCCUCGCCCGCCGCGGGCUUGGCAGGCAACAGCAGCAGCAACAGGAAGGACUGAGGCAGCGGCGGGAGGAGCUCCAUCGAGGCGAGCUGGGACCCUAGGGGAUCCCUACCGGCCUGGGCCUGGACCUGGGCGUGGGCCUGGCUGGGGGCCCGACUCGAGGUCUGGACUGGGCCAACUUUAAGCAGCGGUCCCGACAGCCCCAAGAUAGCGGACCCCCGCCCCAGG
rnacentral:antisense_RNA from 1 species